UGCGGGCCGGCGGGGGUAGGGCGGCUGGCUGCCGAGCGUGGAGGCGGGUUGGGAACCGAUGGCGGCGGGACAGGUGAGCGAUGUAGCAGCAUCCCACUGCCCUGGACUCUUCUAGCUCAUCCAUUUGCAGCUGAGCUGACAGAAAGCAACUUUCAAGCAUUAGCUAGGCCAGACUCCCACUUAUGUCUCUCAGGCUUUGGCACGACACCUAUGUUAUUGGACAGCACUACAGAUCUCCAGCUCACCUAUACUGAUGCUAACUGGCAUACAGAUGGCUCAGGGGACAAUGGCUGCAUGCAGAAAAGCACUGUCCACCUUUCCAGGUUACUGAGAAUCUCACUGUCUGAGAACAUUCUCUACUAAUAUCUUCAGUGUCUAACAAAUCUGCUGUCUGCAAGGGAAAUCAGAGAUCUCAGCCCAUGGCAGUAGAUGGAGGUGUGAAGAAUUCUGCUUGCCCUCACAGUGAGUCCCCAUAGAAUCAUAGAAUUGUUUGAGCUGAAAUAGACUCUUAAAGAUCAUCUGGUCCAACUCCCCUGCAAUGAGCAGGGACACCUACAGUUCAAUCAGGUGCUUAUAGCCCCAUCCAACAUGACCUUGAGUGUCUCCAGGGACAGGGUAUCCACCACCUCUUUGGGCAACCUGUGCCAGUGCUUCACUACCCUUAUUGGAAAAAAAACUUCUUCCUUAUAUCUGAUCUUAAUCUUCCCUCAUUUAGUUUAAAGCCAUUUCCCCUUGUCCUAUCCCCACAGACCCUGCUACAGAGUCUGUCUCCUUCUUUCUCACAGCCCCUAUUUAGAUACUGUAAGGCUGCUCUCCAUUCUCCCCACAGCCUUCUCUGUUCCAGGCUGAACAGCCCCAGCUCUCCCAGCCUGUCCUUGUAGGAGAGGUGUUCCAUCCCUUGCAUCAUUUUUGAUGCACUCCAACAGCUCCAUGUCUCUCCUGUACUGAGGACUCCACAUCUGAACGCAGUACUCCAUGUGAAGUCUCAUAGAGCAGAGCAGAGGGGAAGGAUCACCUCCCUCACCCUGCUGGUCAGUAUUAGGAGGUCGUCUGGAUUGGAACCUAUUGCAGAGCAUUUAACUGAUUGAAAAAAAAUCAGCCAAAAAAGAAAGGGAAAAAAAAAAAAAAAAAAAAAAAAAGGAACCAAAGAAAUAAACCAAACAGGGAACUUCAUAUCACGGGAGGCUUCAUGUUCCAAGUGCAGAAGAAUCUGGGAUAUCUUCCUCCUAAACAUUUUUAUGCAUCAGAACAAUCUGGAACCAUUUUGAUUUGGAAGCAGUGCAGAGCUUUGCCCUCUCUCCUCUCUCAUAGUGCUUUCCAGCUUGUUGCUUUUUUUGCCAUGUAUUUGUUUGCUCCCUUGGGACAGGUGAUCCAGCUUUUCCCUGCUGCUCAUGCAGUUCUCAGUGCCUUCCUGAGCUGUGCUUCUGUAAGCAGCUCCUCUUGUCCACCAGGAAUUGCUCUCUAGGAGAAUAGGGCUUUGCAGCCACUUUUCUCAUGCUUCCACUCUCAUUUUGUCCUUCUGCUUGUUCUCUUGCCAUUCAUGUGACCGUCUCAUGCUUCCAUUAUAACCUUCUGUUAAAUCUUCACUGAAAAUUACUGUGCUGCUAUGAAAGUUGGGGAAUAAAUGCAUCUUUCAGCUUGGGUCAGUGCAGGUGAAUACAGUGUGCACACUGACAGACACCUGCUUCCCUCAGUAAACUGCAGAGGAUCCCACAGACAUGGCUGCGCUGUGUACUCACCAGGGCACUGUCAGAACAUUGCCAGGAAAUCUGCAAAAAGUAAAUUUCAGGAGAGAACUGAAGGCCUUUGAGAAGGGUCUGGAGCCUCAUGCCAUCAGUCGUAUCUGGAGAGAGCUUCACGAAUCUCUGUUUCUUCUCAAGAUCUGGCAUAAGUCAGGGAAUAAUCUCAAUAUCCCCUCGUGUUUGCUGAUAUUUCAAGGUAAAAGAAUUAACUGGAAGUUUUCCCAUUUUCCAGAUGUAACGAUUUCCAAAAUAAAUAUGGGAAGGGUUGUGGGAUAAUACCAUGUGAACAUUUUAAUACACACAGCAAUGUCCUCCGGUUUAUACAGAUCUGGAUUUUUUCCAGACAUAAAUGUUGAAGUCUUUCUUAGAGAGGUAGCAAGGAUUACAUCAAGAAAUCAGAACCGUGGUGUUCACCACACUGAUUCUGCAAGCCAAACCAAGAGAUGACAUACUGAGCUGUGCUCAUACUUCUCUCUUCAGGAGAAUUGUAUUUCAAUGGUGUUUUGUCUAUGGUGCUGCUGUUCCUGGAGAUGGUGAUUUAUUCUUUCUAUAUCAGGUGACAGAAUUGGCUGAAGUGAGCCAUGAAGGGCUAAACUGAGCCACUGGGAUCGCUACAGGAGGAAUCAGAGGCAGUGCACGUGGACACCACUCCAGCAGCAGCCCAGAAUGGGAACUGGGACCCAGAGGAGCAGCUGCUUCUCUGCUCAUUUCCUGCUUUUCGAGAAAGUGCUCUCAGUAGUUCUGGAAAGAAUGCAAAAUAACAUCUUGCAUCCUCCAGCUACCUCAACCUGCUUGAAACUCCCUCAGCUGGGUGAUAAAGGCUGUUUCUCUGCCUUCGUUCGACUAACAUCCUUAAACCUCUGCAACCUACUUCUACUCCCAGCCUGUGUCACUACUCCAUCCAGAUGGCAAUAAAAUCUUUUAGGGUGGAAAAAUUGUGUGCUACCAAAGCAAACGUCUGCCCAUGCUCCCUGCAAUCACAGUGCUGCCUCUGGAACUCAUGUCCCCUUCCUCCCUCUGUGAUGUUUUCCUCAUUCAGCAGUCAGGAAAGACCUGUCCUGCUCAGGUUCCACGUCCUUCACCUCUGCAUGCCAGGUGGGGGCAGCAGCCUUCAAACAAGCAGAUGGUGCUCACCUUCCUAUGGAUAUGAGUGGGAAGGAGGGAAGUAGGGCUCUGGACCUCUUGAAUGAGUUCUGAGAUAUAUGUGCUAUAGAGAGGUCUGACCUCAAGCAGGGUAGGUACAAGCUUGUUGGCUGUGCUUUUCAGCCCUGCAGAUGUUACAUCUUUCCCAAAGCAGGACAGAAAAAGCAGGGAGGAAUGAAUGAUGAAAUCCUUUAGUAAAAAAUGUUGUUUCUCUGUCCCCUCAGCCAUUCCCAUCUUAUUUGAGGUUAUUACUGCAACAUUAUUUAUGCUUCAAUCACAGGAAUUUUUUCAUGGUCAUGAAUAGCUUUGUGAACCUAAGAAAAGACACAGAAGGAGCCAUUUUUUCUCUGUUUGAAGUCCUAAUGCACUUGAAGUUUCUGUAAUAAAACUGUCAGUCCAUAAAGUUGGGCUGCUAAGACCACAGAUAAAAUGUAGUUAUUCUAAAGCAACUGAGCUCCUUUGAAAAGCAAUGAUAGUUUCGAGGAACUCGGCGCUAUUGAAAAGGCUUUCAGUUUAAGCCUGAACUUUCCAGAGGAAUAAUGAACAGUAAAUUUCACUGACUUAAUUUUCAAAUGCCCAUGUUGAAAUAGCCUUAGGACUCUGAUCACUCCUGCUGCCAGCUCUUAGACAUCCCGGCAGUGAAAUUCAACAGCCUCAGUCACAGAUGCUGAAUCACUGCAUGUUGCAGGUCUGUGUUUCCCAGCAAAAUGGCCGUGAUUUUAGGUUAUCCUGCAAAGCUGGUUUGAUAAACAGCAUCGUCCUUCAGCAGGACUCUGGAUGUCCAGUACUGUGAGCAGUUGUAAACGAAAGAAGCAGCGCUCCCAUGAUGACUUUUAGCUCUUUAGAUAGCAGGAUUAAGCAGGUAGAUGUGGCUUUAGACAUCCAUGUUUGGACCUCAUGUCAAAGACAAAAGCAUUAUAAAAAUGGAUUUGAUGGGACUGCAUGGCUGCCCAUCAUUACCAGCACACUUUUGGUUUCUCUCUGCUGGACUGAGCUUUAAACGUACAUCAAAAAGAAUCGAGAAGUUGAAAUAAGCCACUUUCAACUCUCAAAAGAACCAUUUUUAAACACAGAAGCAUUCGGAGAACAAAACCUCCUUUUCAGCACUCCUGGCUCAUUCCUGGGGGCCAUUUCUUACAGUUCUGCUAAAUCAGUUGAGAAAGUCACCAAAGCGUAGCAACAUUGCAGUGUUCCUAUGAAAAAAAAAGGCACCAAAGAUCCUUGAGAAAACCCCAAACAGCGCAUAAAGCAAGAACAAAUGUUUUCUAUAUGUGGUAUUGUUAAAACUCCCAAGUGGCAUAAAUAUAAUAAACAAUAGUGAAGAAUGGGAUAUUUCUGUUUGUUUCCACACACUUGAGAUGACCUAACCUACCUCAGGCAUGGCUCCACUUUGUGACUUGUGAGUUAUUUGAUCGCUCCAAACUUGUGAAAAUAAACACUAUUAUUCUACUGUUUGACAUUGUGCAUUCUUUUGUUCUCUGCAAAUAGACUGAGAACUAUCAAAUGAAAGUAAAUCAUAAUGAAACGCAAAUCAAAAUAAAAGCUGCAG
ensembl:lncRNA